GUGAGGAAUAUUGCGCAAUGGAGGCAACUCUGACGCAGCCAUGCCGCGUGCAGGAAGAAGGCGCUACGCGUUGUAAACUGCUUUUAACCGGGAAGAAACCCCAGGACGUGUCCUGGGUUGACGGUACCGGAGGAAUAAGCACCGGCUAACUUCGAGCCAGCAGCCGCGGUAAUACGAAGGGCGCAAGCGUUAUCCGGAUUCAUUGGGUUUAAAGGGUGCGUAGGCGGAGCGUUAAGUCAGUGGUGAAAUCCUGCAGCUUAACUGUAGACUUGCCAGUGAUACUGGCGCUCUUGAGUGCGCUUGAAGUGGGCGGAAUGUGCCGUGUAGCGGUGAAAUGCUUAGAUAUGGCACAGAACACCAAUUGCGAAGGCAGCUCACUAAGGCGAUACUGACGCUGAGGCACGAAAGCGUGGGGAUCGAACAGGAUUAGAAACCCUUGUAGUCC
rnacentral:rRNA from 1 species